rnacentral:rRNA from 1 species
GACGUAGGGUCCAAGCGUUGUCCGGAUUUACUGGGCGUAAAGAGCGCGUAGGCGGUCUGUUAAGUGUAGAGUGAAAUCUCCAGGGCUCAACCCGGAAACUGCUCUGCAUACUGGCAGACUGGAGUGAUGCAGAGGUUUGUGGAAUUCCUGGUGUAGCGGUGAAAUGCGCAGAUAUCAGGAGGAACACCGGUGGCGAAGGCGGGACUCUGGGCCGAUACUGACGCUGAGGAGCGAAAGCGUGGGGAGCGAACAGG